CAACGCUGGCGGCGUGCCUAAUACAUGCAAGUCGAGCGAAUCUGAGGGAGCUUGCUCCCAAAGAUUAGCGGCGGACGGGUGAGUAACACGUGGGCAACCUGCCUGUAAGACUGGGAUAACUCCGGGAAACCGGGGCUAAUACCGGAUAAUAUCUAUUUAUACAUAUAAUUAGAUUGAAAGAUGGUUCUGCUAUCACUUACAGAUGGGCCCGCGGCGCAUUAGCUAGUUGGUGAGGUAACGGCUCACCAAGGCGACGAUGCGUAGCCGACCUGAGAGGGUGAUCGGCCACACUGGGACUGAGACACGGCCCAGACUCCUACGGGAGGCAGCAGUAGGGAAUCUUCCGCAAUGGACGAAAGUCUGACGGAGCAACGCCGCGUGAGUGAUGAAGGUUUUCGGAUCGUAAAACUCUGUUGUUAGGGAAGAACAAGUAUCGGAGUAACUGCCGGUACCUUGACGGUACCUAACCAGAAAGCCACGGCUAACUACGUGCCAGCAGCCGCGGUAAUACGUAGGUGGCAAGCGUUGUCCGGAAUUAUUGGGCGUAAAGCGCGCGCAGGCGGUUCCUUAAGUCUGAUGUGAAAGCCCACGGCUCAACCGUGGAGGGUCAUUGGAAACUGGGGAACUUGAGUGCAGAAGAGGAAAGUGGAAUUCCAAGUGUAGCGGUGAAAUGCGUAGAGAUUUGGAGGAACACCAGUGGCGAAGGCGACUUUCUGGUCUGUAACUGACGCUGAGGCGCGAAAGCGUGGGGAGCAAACAGGAUUAGAUACCCUG
rnacentral:rRNA from 1 species